rnacentral:lncRNA from 1 species
GGCCGCGUCAAGAUCCCGAUCCAGAAGGACGGCGAGAUCCCCAUCCCUUACAAGCCCGACGUCGACGUGGAGAAGAUCAAGUUCCACCACUUCUCCUUCGAGGAGACCACCGCCACGCUCCACCUCAAGCUCGAGAACAAGAACGACUUCGACCUCGGCCUCAACCUGCUCGAGUACGAGAUGUGGCUCGGCGACGACAGCAUCGCCUCCGCCGAGCUCACACAGACCGCCAAGAUCGAGAAGCAGGGGAUCACCAGGAUGCAGGUGCCCUUCAGCU